AGCGUUAUUCGGAAUUAUUGGGCGUAAAGGGCGCGUAGGCGGCGAUUCAAGUGAGGGGUGAAAUCCCUCGGCUUAACCGAGGAACUGCCUGUCAGACUGGAAGGCUUGAGACCGGGAGAGGUGAGUGGAAUUCCCAGUGUAGCGGUGAAAUGCGUAGAUAUCAGGAGGAACACCAACAGCGAAGGCAGCUCGCUGGGACGGUAUUGACGCUAAGGCGCGAAAGCGUGGGGAGCGAACAGG
rnacentral:rRNA from 1 species